ACACUCCUACGGGAGGCAGCAGUGGGGAAUAUUGGACAAUGGGCGCAAGCCUGAUCCAGCCAUGCCGCGUGAGUGAUGAAGGCCCUAGGGUUGUAAAGCUCUUUCACCGGUGAAGAUAAUGACGGUAACCGGAGAAGAAGCCCCGGCUAACUUCGUGCCAGCAGCCGCGGUAAUACGAAGGGGGCUAGCGUUGUUCGGAUUUACUGGGCGUAAAGCGCACGUAGGCGGACUAUUAAGUCAGGGGUGAAAUCCCGGGGCUCAACCCCGGAACUGCCUUUGAUACUGGUAGUCUUGAGUUCGAGAGAGGUGAGUGGAAUGCCGAGUGUAGAGGUGAAAUUCGUAGAUAUUCGGAGGAACACCAGUGGCGAAGGCGGCUCACUGGCUCGAUACUGACGCUGAGGUGCGAAAGCGUGGGGAGCAAACAGGAUUAGAAACCCGAGUAGUCCC
rnacentral:rRNA from 1 species